rnacentral:rRNA from 1 species
ACGCACGCUGGCGGCGUGCCUAAUACAUGCCAGUCGAGCGGACGGAUGGGAGCUUGCUCCCAGACCGUCAGCGGCGGACGGGUGAGUAACACGUGGGCAACCUGCCUGUAAGACUGGGAUAACUCCGGGAAACCGGGGCUAAUACCGGAUAACUCUUUCCCUCACAUGAGGGAAAGCUGAAAGAUGGCAUCUCGCUAUCACUUACAGAUGGGCCCGCGGCGCAUUAGCUAGUUGGUGAGGUAACGGCUCACCAAGGCGACGAUGCGUAGCCGACCUGAGAGGGUGAUCGGCCACACUGGGACUGAGACACGGCCCAGACUCCUACGGGAGGCAGCAGUAGGGAAUCUUCCGCAAUGGACGAAAGUCUGACGGAGCAACGCCGCGUGAGUGAUGAAGGUUUUCGGAUCGUAAAACUCUGUUGUCAGGGAAGAACAAGUACCGGAGUAACUGCCGGUACCUUGACGGUACCUGACCAGAAAGCCACGGCUAACUACGUG